CUGGGUUUGACAUGGUAGGAAAAGCCACAGAGAUGUGGUGUCCUUUUGGGCCUAUCACAGGUGGUGCAUGGCUGUCGUCAGCUCGUGUCGUGAGAUGUUGGGUUAAGUCCCGCAACGAGCGCAACCCUUGUCCUAUGUUGCCAGCGCGUAAUGGCGGGGACUCGUAGGAGACUGCCGGGGUCAACUCGGAGGAAGGUGGGGACGACGUCAAGUCAUCAUGCCCCUUAUGUCCAGGGCUGCAAACAUGCUACAAUGGCCGGUACAAAGGGCUGCGAGACCGCGAGGUUGAGCGAAUCCCACAAAGCCGGUCUCAGCUCGGAUCGGAGUCUGCAACUCGACUCCGUGAAGCUGGAGUUGCUAGUAAUCCCGGAUCAGCAACGCCGGGGUGAAUACGUUCCC
rnacentral:rRNA from 1 species